AACGCACCUUGCGCUCCUUGGUAUUCCGAGGAGCAUGCCUGUUUGAGUGUCAUGAAACCCUCAACCUCUGACUUUCUUAAUCGUCGGUCAGCGGCUUGGACUUGGGUGUCUGCCGGUCUUUAUUGAUCGGCUCACCUGAAAUAUAUUAGCGAAUCCCUUCUGUAAUCGGUUCCACUCGACGUGAUAAGUAUUUCGUCGAGGACAUCUUUAUUGAUGGCCGAGAUAAAGCUGGUUCUAGAUCUGCUUCUAACUCUUUCGUUGCCUUCUGGUAAAGAAAAACCCCUCAUGAUCUGGCCUCAAAUCAGGUAGGACUACCCGCUGAACUUAA
rnacentral:misc_RNA from 1 species